GGGUUGUGAGGUUAAGCGACUAAGCGUACACGGUGGAUGCCCUGGCAGUCAGAGGCGAUGAAGGACGUGCUAAUCUGCGAUAAGCGUCGGUAAGGUGAUAUGAACCGUUAUAACCGGCGAUUUCCGAAUGGGGAAACCCAGUGUGUUUCGACACACUAUCAUUAACUGAAUCCAUAGGUUAAUGAGGCGAACCGGGGGAACUGAAACAUCUAAGUACCCCGAGGAAAAGAAAUCAACCGAGAUUCCCCCAGUAGCGGCGAGCGAACGGGGAGGAGCCCAGAGCCUGAAUCAGUGUGUGUGUUAGUGGAAGCGUCUGGAAAGGUGCGCGAUACAGGGUGACAGCCCCGUACACAAAAAUGCACAUGCUGUGAGCUCGAUGAGUAGGGCGGGACACGUGGUAUCCUGUCUGAAUAUGGGGGGACCAUCCUCCAAGGCUAAAUACUCCUGACUGACCGAUAGUGAACCAGUACCGUGAGGGAAAGGCGAAAAGAACCCCGGCGAGGGGAGUGAAAAAGAACCUGAAACCGUGUACGUACAAGCAGUGGGAGCAUGCUUAGGCGUGUGACUGCGUACCUUUUGUAUAAUGGGUCAGCGACUUAUAUUCUGUAGCAAGGUUAACCGAAUAGGGGAGCCGAAGGGAAACCGAGUCUUAACUGGGCGUUAAGUUGCAGGGUAUAGACCCGAAACCCGGUGAUCUAGCCAUGGGCAGGUUGAAGGUUGGGUAACACUAACUGGAGGACCGAACCGACUAAUGUUGAAAAAUUAGCGGAUGACUUGUGGCUGGGGGUGAAAGGCCAAUCAAACCGGGAGAUAGCUGGUUCUCCCCGAAAGCUAUUUAGGUAGCGCCUCGUGAACUCAUCUCCGGGGGUAGAGCACUGUUUCGGCAAGGGGGUCAUCCCGACUUACCAACCCGAUGCAAACUGCGAAUACCGGAGAAUGUUAUCACGGGAGACACACGGCGGGUGCUAACGUCCGUCGUGAAGAGGGAAACAACCCAGACCGCCAGCUAAGGUCCCAAAGUCAUGGUUAAGUGGGAAACGAUGUGGGAAGGCCCAGACAGCCAGGAUGUUGGCUUAGAAGCAGCCAUCAUUUAAAGAAAGCGUAAUAGCUCACUGGUCGAGUCGGCCUGCGCGGAAGAUGUAACGGGGCUAAACCAUGCACCGAAGCUGCGGCAGCGACGCUUAUG
rnacentral:rRNA from 1 species